GUGGGGAAUCUUAGACAAUGGGCGCAAGCCUGAUCUAGCCAUGCCGCGUGGACGAUGAAGGCCUUAGGGUUGUAAAGUCCUUUCGCUGGGGAAGAUAAUGACGGUACCCAGUAAAGAAGCCCCGGCUAACUCCGUGCCAGCAGCCGCGGUAAUACGGAGGGGGCUAGCGUUGUUCGGAAUUACUGGGCGUAAAGCGCGCGUAGGCGGAUCGGAAAGUUGGGGGUGAAAUCCCGGGGCUCAACCUCGGAACUGCCUUCAAAACUCCCGGUCUUGAGUUCGAGAGAGGUGAGUGGAAUUCCGAGUGUAGAGGUGAAAUUCGUAGAUAUUCGGAGGAACACCAGUGGCGAAGGCGGCUCACUGGCUCGAUACUGACGCUGAGGUGCGAAAGCGUGGGGAGCAAACAGGAUUAGAUACCCCAGUAGUCC
rnacentral:rRNA from 1 species